ACACUAAUCCUCCCAGGGAAACCUGGCCCUUAAUUCGAUAAUCCACGAACCUCUUACCUUUCCUAGUCUUACUCAGCCCCUUUGGCUGUUAGGUCCCAGCUUACAUACCGCCGUUGUUCAGCCCAUACCACAAGGGAACAAAAAUAGGCAAUACAGUAGACCAUCUAACCACUACCAAUUCAGGUAAAAGUGUAGCCAAUGGAAAGGGGCCGCUGGGUUGCAUUGGUAACUCUCCUAUGGACUUCCACGCUAAGUGUGGAAAGAAAAAGGACUUGGAAGUAAUGCUUUCAACCCAUGAAAACAUGAAUUCGGCUCUAGUGUGUGU
rnacentral:rRNA from 1 species